rnacentral:tRNA from 1 species
GGGAGCGUAGCACAAUUGGUUAGUGCACCGGACUGUCGAUCCGGAGGUCGCGAGUUCGAGUCUCGUCGCUCCCGCCA